rnacentral:tRNA from 1 species
UCGGGUAUGGUGUAGCGGUAACAUCCAUGACUCUCAUCGCCGUCUCAGACGAGUGAUUGAUCUCAUGAGCCCGGGGUUCGACUCCCCGUAUCCGAG